UUUUCUUUUUCGAAAGUCAUCUGUUCGAGCAGGCUGUUGUGACCUCAUGCUUUCUCUCUCUCUCUCUCUCUCUCUCUCCUUCUUUCUUCCUCUCUUCCUCUCCCUGUUUCUGCCUCUUGGCAGCUGGGCCAAAGUGGGCAGGGAGAGAGGAGGGCACGGCCGAGACUGCUCUCAAGCCCCAGCCCUUGUUCGAGUGGGGUUGCUCGCCAGCACGCUGCUCAGCCUUUCCCUCAUCUUGCAGACGAAAGAGAGGGACGUGGAAACGCGCUCUCCUCUCCUUUCUUCCCCGCCCUUUUUUCACCACCACCAUGGCCUGUUCACUUCGGGUCAUCUCUGCGGAGAUCCCUGCUCUGUCCUUUACAAAAUCUACUUCCAGUUCCCUAGUAGAACUCCUAAACCUCAUCUCUGGGUCGACGCCAGACUAAGCACCUGUCCUUGAGGCUGAGGUAGUAGAUUGAAUAGUUGUGGGGUAUAUGUCCUCCCUCUGAGAUAACUAUACAAUCUACUGUCUUUCCUAAGGAGACAGACUGAUCGUCAACAACCCUGAAGAUUGACUGUUCUCCCCUGACCGUCCCACCCAUCUUCCCAGCCUGGACACCUGCCUGCAGCCUGUCUCUGCUCUGUGGGGAAGUUACACCAUUAGCAUAUCACCUCCAUUUACACCCAUUCACAGACUGUUGCAGGACAAAAUGAGAACGGGUAACAUUUCCUUUGUUAGACCACCCAAUGCUUUAUUUGUUGUGUUUGAGUAAAAGUGUACUUUAGGGCGAUUGUGUUUGUGUUGUCGCCUCUCGCUGUAUCUCUUUGAGUGUGUUUGAAUGACAUUCCCCCUUCAUCCAUCAGUCUUUCAGGUGAAUGUGUCCUGGCGAGGUGAGGUAGUAGGUUGUAUAGUUUGUGGGAGGGAUUUAAUCCUAUUCAGGUGAUAACUAUACAGUCUAUUGCCUUCCUUGAGAGGCACAAUGACCGGCUGCAGCAACGAGGAAGUCCACAGAAAGCUGCUCUCUGAAUUCCUCAAUGCAUUGGAUGCAAUCUCACUAUGAUAAAGCAACAGCUGGAGCACAAAUGUGUUUAUAGCCUCGCCAGCGCCACUUGGUGGCCAAGGAGCAGCAGGACUCCAGAGACCUUGUAGGUUCACGAUUCAGAGCUCCUCAAGAAUGAAAGGAUAUGAAAUGCACUCAACAGAGAAUGCAUCAGUGUUACAAAAUCUAAACAAUAAGGGUUGGUUCUCCAGAACCAAAUCAAGCCCUAAAUAAAUGCUUUUAGGCUUUUGAUAUGUUUAAGGGUAACAUUAUUCAAGGUUUUAUUAAUUAACAAAGGUUAAAUAUAGUUAUUAAAGUAGCAUCUAGUCUUUUAAUCUGACUUUUUAGGGCAUUAAAUACAUCUGAUUACACCUCAUUUCAAUUCUGAAGAUAGUUUUUUUGUCAGUAACAAUACAUGCUAUAGGGCUAUAAGCUUUAUUUUGUGGUCAGUAACCACACAUGAUAUAGGUUUAUACAUUUACUGCCAGUCAAUUCAAAAGUUGCUGAGAGGGUAUUAGGGUUGUUCCACAAAAAGAGUGCCUUUUUGCGUCUCUUUGAUAUUUUAAGUAGAAAUUGUGCACCAAUAUUGAAUUUUAAAAGCCUAUUAUACUAAAUGAAGUGCCCUUUAAUAUAGACCACAUGGAGAAUUCAACAAAUUAGAUAUGUUAUGUGAAUAAAGGCUUGUUAAAGUGCCCCUUUGUCAGCCCCGUGUCACAAGAUGUCAACCCCCUUAUAUCUAGUUGGAAAGCUCUAGUUAUAAAGCCCGAUUUCAUCAUGGGGGACAACUACAUCUAAAUUUACCACACCGAUGACAUGAACAGUUACAGUAUGACCUAGGUUGAAUUUCAACAAAACUGAAAGUAUGUAGCUACAUCUCUUUAACGAAAAGAGAAACAACUGCCAGGAAGGUCAGUUGAGUUCUGAUACAGAGUACCAGGCCAUGUUAUCAUUAUGGCAGGAACACAAUGUGUUUGUUCAUCUAUUGCAAUAUACCAUAUCGCAAUAAUAAAAUACAUAUCCCACUGCCAUCUAGUGUGCUUACACAAGACCAGGGGAAUAAUGCCGGAGAUAGCGAUGUGCUGCAUGCCAAUACACAUUAAUCAAGACACAAUAUUGUCAUUACAACAUUUGUAUAAUACAUACAAUGUAAUAGUAUGUAUUUUACAAACCAUUUUGAAAUAAAAAUGUAACUUUAGAUUGGAUUUCUUAAUCUCUGAAAAUGUAUGAUGAUAUCGAAGAAUGUCAGAGCUAUAUGUAUACUGUAGGUCUACACACUUAACAUUAAACACAACCUUACAGUAAGGGGGGAAAGUAUUUGAUCCCCUGCUGAUUUUGUACGUUUGCC
rnacentral:lncRNA from 1 species